GACACUGUAGCUCAGUGGUUAGAGCACUGGUCUUGUAAACCAGGGGUUAUGAGUUUAAAUCUCAUCAGCUGUUU